rnacentral:rRNA from 1 species
GCGGCCUUCUGGACAAUACUGACGCUGAGAUGCGAAAGCGUGGGGAGCAAACAGGAUUAGAUACCUGGUAGUCCACGCUGUAAACGAUGUCGAUUUGGAGUUUGGGGGCAUGACCCUUGGGCUCCGGAGCUAACGCGUUAAAUCGACCGCCUGGGGAGUACGGCCGCAAGGUUAAAACUCAAAUGAAUUGACGGGGGCCCGCACAAGCGGUGGAGCAUGUGGUUUAAUUCGAUGCAACGCGAAGAACCUUACCUGGUCUUGACAUCCAUAGAAUCUUUCAGAGAUGAGAGAGUGCCUUCGGGAGCUAUGAGACAGGUGCUGCAUGGCUGUCGUCAGCUCGUGUUGUGAAAUGUUGGGUUAAGUCCCGCAACGAGCGCAACCCCUAUCCUUUGUUGCCAGCACGUAAUGGUGGGAACUCAAAGGAGACUGCCGUUGAUAAAGCGGAGGAAGGUGGGGACGACGUCAAGUCAUCAUGGCCCUUACGACCAGGGCUACACACGUGCUACAAUGGCGUAUACAAGGGGAUGCGAAGGUGCGAACUGGAGCGGACCUCACAAAGUACGUCUAAGUCCGGAUUGGAGUCUGCAACUCGACUCCAUGAAGUCGGAAUCGCUAGUAAUCGUGAAUCAGAAUGUCACGGUGAAUACGUUCCCGGGCCUUGUACACACCGCCCGUCACACCAUGGGAGUGGGUUGCACCAGAAGUAGAUAGCUUAACCUUCGGGAGGGCGUUUACCACGGUGUGGUUCAUGACUGGGGUGAAGUCGUAACAAGGUAACCA